rnacentral:siRNA from 1 species
UGCUGCUAGUGCAUGGAUUG